AAUCUCACGCCCUCCCCGCAGUCUACACUGGCGGAGACCAUCCAACAGUGGCCGGCUCACUGUUCAAUGACUCCUGGGGCGUACACUCUUCCUGAUUAGAUUCUUGCUCCAUCAAUUAAGGCUGCUCUGUGUGGACCUGCUGCAUCAGCGAAAGAUCAAACUCUAAAUAAUGUUUCGUGCCUGGGCCUGGAAAGCUGAGCCUGGAUCCCAGGCUGGGGAGGCAAGACUGUGAAACGUCAAACACGCCGUGCGCCGCAAACACACUGCGGAGGGCCGGCGCCAGUCUGUCACUAGGAUGACCGUUAGCAUUUGGGUGAAGGUGGCAUGCUGCUCAUGGGGGAUGGGCUUCGAGGUUCCUGCUCAACUGCAAGGUCAUGGCGCCUUCAUCAGUCUAUCAGCCGUGUUCAUCCCCAGAAAGGAACAGUCACACGUGUCACCAAACCACAAACGCCACGGCCUGGCUCCGCCCUUCGCUCCGCCCAGCAUCAGCCUUGGAGCAGGGCAGCCAAGCUGAGCCGCCUGCCUUUGCCAUCACACCAGGCUGGAGCUGCCAGGCCCAGAGGAGCAACAGCAACGUGCCCUUUGAGCAGCCAACGUCAUCAAGUGAUCGAAGCAGUAAAUUAGA